UAGUAACUGCGAGUGAACAGGGAAAAGCUCAAAUUUAAAAUCUGGCAGUCUUUUUUGACUGUCCGAGUUGUAAUCUAGAGAAGUGUUAUCCGCGCUGGACCGUGUACAAGUCUCCUGGAAUGGAGCAUCAUAGAGGGUGAGAAUCCCGUCUUUGACACGGACUGCCAGGGCUUUGUGAUGCGCUCUCAAAGAGUCGAGUUGUUUGGGAAUGCAGCUCAAAAUGGGUGGUAAAUUCCAUCUAAAGCUAAAUAUUGGCGAGAGACCGAUAGUGAACAAGUACCGUGAGGGAAAGAUGAAAAGGACUUUGGAAAGAGAGUUAAACAGUACGUGAAAUCGCUGAAAGGGAAACGCUUGAAGUCAGUCGCGUUGCCUAGGGAUCAUCCCUUGCUUUUGCUUGGUGUACUUUCUGGGUUUGACGGGCCAGCAUCAAUUUUGACUAUUGGAAAAAGGUCAAGGGAAUGUGGCAUCUUAGGAUGUGUUAUAGCCCUUGGUUGCAUACAAUGGUUGAGAUUGAGGAACUCAGCACGCGCCCCGCCAGGCGUAGGGUCGGAACUCCGACUACUAUACGUGCUUAGGAUGCUGGCAUAAUGGCUUUAAUCGACCCGUCUUGAAACACGGACCAAGGAGUCUAACAUACCUGCGAGUGUUUGGGUGGAAAACUCAAAUGCGUAAUGAAAGUGAAAGUUAAGAUCCCUCAUUUGUGGGGAGCAUUGACACCUGGACCAGACCUUUUGUGACGGUUCCACGGUAGAGCAUGUAUGUUGGGACCCGAAAGAUGGUGAACUAUGCCUGAAUAGGGUGAAGCCAGAGGAAACUCUGGUGGAGGCUCGUAGCGAUUCUGACGUGCAAAUCGAUCGUCAAAUUUGGGUAUAGGGGCGAAA
rnacentral:rRNA from 1 species